UACGUAGGGUGCGAGCGUUAAUCGGAAUUACUGGGCGUAAAGCGUGCGCAGGCGGUGAUGUAAGACCGAUGUGAAAUCCCCGGGCUUAACCUGGGAACUGCAUUGGUGACUGCAUCGCUCGAGUAUGGCAGAGGGGGUUAGAAUUCCACGUGUAGCAGUGAAAUGCGUAGAGAUGUGGAGGAAUACCGAUGGCGAAGGCAGCCCCCUGGGUCAAUACUGACGCUCAUGCACGAAAGCGUGGGGAGCAAACAGG
rnacentral:rRNA from 1 species